UACGGAGGGGGCGAGCGUUGUCCGAAGUUACUGGGCGUAAAGCGCGCGUAGGCGGGAGGCCAAGUCCCCUGUGAAAGCCCGGGGCUCAACCCCGGCGGGUCGGUGGAGACUGGUCUUCUUGAAGAUGCUAGGGGGAGGUGGAAUUAUCGGUGUAGCGGUGAAAUGCGUAGAGAUCGAUAGGAACACCAGUGGCGAAGGCGGCCUCCUGGGGCACUCUUGACGCUGAGGAGCGAAAGCGUGGGGAGCGAACAGG
rnacentral:rRNA from 1 species